rnacentral:rRNA from 1 species
UACGGAGGAUGCGAGCGUUAUCCGGAUUUAUUGGGUUUAAAGGGUGCGUAGGCGGAGUGCCAAGUCAGCGGUAAAAAUUCGGGGCUCAACCCCGUCGUGCCGUUGAAACUGGCGCCCUUGAGUGGGCGAGAAGUAUGCGGAAUGCGUGGUGUAGCGGUGAAAUGCAUAGAUAUCACGCAGAACCCCGAUUGCGAGGGCAGCAUACCGGCGCCCGACUGACGCUGAAGCACGAAAGCGUGGGUAUCGAACAGG